CCUACGGGUGGCAGCAGUGGGGAAUAUUGCACAAUGGGCGCAAGCCUGAUGCAGCCAUGCCGCGUGUGUGAAGAAGGCCUUCGGGUUGUAAAGCACUUUCAGCGGGGAGGAAGGCGUUAAGGUUAAUAACCUUGGCGAUUGACGUUACCCGCAGAAGAGGCACCGGCUAACUCCGUGCCAGCAGCCGCGGUAAUACGGAGGGUGCAAGCGUUAAUCGGAAUUACUGGGCGUAAGCGCACGCAGGCGGUCUGUCAAGUCGGAUGUGAAAUCCCCGGGCUCAACCUGGGAACUGCAUUCGAAACUGGCAGGCUAGAGUCUUGUAGAGGGGGGUAGAAUUCCAUGUGUAGCGGUGAAAUGCGUAGAGAUGUGGAGGAAUACCGGUGGCGAAGGCAGCCCCCUGGACAAAGACUGACGCUCAGGUGCGAAAGCGUGGGGAGCAAACAGGAUUAGAUACCCUCGUAGUC
rnacentral:rRNA from 1 species